rnacentral:rRNA from 1 species
AGAGUUCGAUCCUAGCUCAGGAUGAACGCUGGAGGCAUGCUUAACACAUACAAGUCGGAUGAGAGGUAGUGUUUCUGGUGGCGAAUGGGUGCGUAAUGCGUAAGAACCUGUCCUUAGGACGGGAAAAAUAGCUGGAAACGGCUGCUAAUGCCCCGCAGGCUGAGGAGCCAAAGAGGGAAUCCGCCCUAGGAGGGGCUCACACCUAAUUAUCUAGUUGGCGAGGUAAUAGCUUACCAAGGCAAUGAUCAAUAGCUGGUCCGAGAGGAUGAUCAACCAGAUCGGGACUGAGACACGUCCCAGACUCCUAUGGGAGGCAAUAGUGAGGACUUUUUUCACAAGGGGCGAAAUCCUGAUGGAGCAAUGUCGUGUGAAGGCAGAAGGCCCAUAGAUCGUGAACUUCUUCUCUCGGAGAAGAAGCAAUGACGGCAUUUAGGGAAUAAACAUCGGUUAGCUCUAUGCCAGCAGCCGCGGUAAGACAGAGGAUGCAAGCGUUAUUCGAAAUGAUUGGGCACAAAGUGUCUGUGGGUGGCUUUUUAAGUCCCCCGUCAAAUCGCAGGCCUCAAUCUCGAACUGGUGGUGAAAGCUGACAAGCUGGAGUACGCUAGGGGUAGAGGGAAUUUUUAUUGGAGCGGUUAAAUGCGUAGAGAUCGGAAAGAACACCAACGGUGAAAGCACUCUGCUAGACCGAUACUGACACUCAGAGACAAAAGCUAAGGGAGCGAAUGGGAUUAGGUACCCCAGUAGUCCUAGCCGUAAAUGUUGGAUAUAUAAAUUCAAGGAAGUAACUGGCACUGGAACGUCUGGGCACUGGGACUUUCCCCGCAUUCAAAAUGGAACCUGCCCUCGGCUGAAUCAACAGCAAAGAGAACUACAGCUUUAUCAAAAGGGAACAGAUGUAUACGUAUAUAUAAACGCAGUUAAUAUGCUAAGACAGGUAAAAAGAAAUAUGCUUUUGCCCUAACCCGAGACCCUGCUUCUACCUCUAUGACAAAUAGACAAUUUGCACAGGAAAUCUCCAAAAUAAUUUGAUUAAACUUUCUUUCCCAUAGAUAAGAUUGCUCGUUGGCUUGCUUAUACUAAAGUGCUUGCUUUUGAAAGAAAGCGGCUUGCUAUUAGCUACUUCUCUUACUUAUUAUCUAACUUUCGCAGAUCCAGGGAGAUACAGGAGGUUGUUUGGAAAGUUAAACUAUUCAAUUGUUACUAGACUACCCUGAUAGUUCAGAAUCAUUGGGACAUUAGUCCUCCCCAAUACAGGCCCCAAAUCAUUUAUCUUCUGGAAAUGAUCAUGAAAGCUUCUGGCAUGGAGAGAAUAAGACGGAGAUGGAGGUAUUCAAAGGCUGAAGUUGUUGAGUUUGGUGGUAUGUCCUCU